GUGAAAAUAAAACACUGAUGUUAGCAUUAGUAACAAUAGUUGUAAGAGGUUUCAGGUUUGUAUGGUAUUUCUUUAAAUCUUCUCCAGUUCUUUUAGCAACUCUCCAAAACUUGUGACGUACCACAAACUUUUCUCCUUUACUUGCUGCCUGACCACAUUUCCACCAAAUCCAAUGAAUGCAUUCUGAAAAACAAAACAAUGUGCUGAGGAAAAUUGCUUAAAAGGCAACCAGUGUCCAUUAUUCCAGUGUUACUUUACAUUAUAGCUGCUUUUAACACCUGACAAUCUGGUACUGGGUUGUAUUCAUUAGUCGCAGACCGUAGCAAAACGUUUUGCAAUGUACACUUGAGUUUCUAUUGGACAAAUUCAGCUAGGUUCCUCCCCGGUUCGUUCCGUUUGGUUCCUAGUGAAUACACCCCUGUAAUUGUGUCUUUGAAAAAGGCACUUAAUAAUUAACUCCUCCACAGGCACUGCUCUGCUGUUAACACUGCUCCACCUAAAAUGUGUUGUGUGUGUUUCUGUGGUGUCUAUGAGUGUUGGGAGCA